CUUUCUAGAAAUUUGAAGUAUAUUAUUUUCCUAGUUGAUUAAAAGCUUUGAAACAAUUUUUAUUUUGUUUAACUCCAGUAUAGUAAGAGACCCUUUUCACCCUUGGACAUUUAGAUCAAUUUAUACAAGAAUGGUUCACUUUAGAUCGAUUUAAGCCCAAUGUAAACGCUUUGAAUCAAUCUUGUGAAUUAGUCUAAACUAAAACACCAAAAGAAGUAGUUUAUUUUGAAUCAAUCUUAAGUGAACCAAUUUAACUGAUAUGUGAAAGCAGAGAUUGAUUUAAACUAGUAUGAUUGAAUCAAAAAUAAUUUGUGCGAAAAUAUGGCAGAAAAAUCAAACAUAUAAUUUAUUACAAAAUGGAUGAACAACAUGAAAGUGCUAAAAAUAAACAAAAACUAUAAGAACAGCAGC
rnacentral:lncRNA from 1 species